UUCUUCACAGGGUCCUAGAAACCUUAUGGCUUCCUAUUUCUAUAGAUUUUUUUUUUCUUCCACUGUGUGCAUCCUGGCUAGGCUGCUUUGCAUUGUCACCAACCAGGGACCCAGGCAUUGCUCUAAGAAGUCCUAUGGUUUAUAAAAGUUAAAAUCCUGUUUACAUUUGUUUAGCCUUCUGUUUCCCGGAUUAUGUGACCACAGAACGCUUUUCUCAUGUAAUACCUAUUUACAUCCCAUCUUAGUCCUUCUGGACUGCUACAACAAAAUACCUUAGCCUGGGUAAUUUAAAAACAAUGGGAAUUUAUUACUCACAGUUCUGGAGGCUGAGGAGUCCAAGAUCAAGGUGCCAGCAGAUUUGGUGUUUGGUGAGAACUUGCUUUUUGCUUCAAAGAUGGUGACUUCUUGAGGUAUUCUCACGUGGCAGAAGGGACAGGGCAGCUCCCCUCAACCUCUUUUGUAAGGAAACCAAUCCUAUUCAUGAGGUAAUCAUCUUCUAAAGGCCCCAUUCUUAAUACCAUUGCACUGGGGACACACACGUUUAGACCAUAGCACAUUAUAUGGACCAAGCUUUGUCUUAGUUCAUUUUCUGCUGCUAUAGCAGAAUACCACAGACUGGGUAAUCCAUAAUAAACAGAAAUUUAUUGGCUUGCAAUUCUGGAGUCUAGGAAGUCCAAGACUGAGGGGUUAGCAUCUUGCAAGGACCUUCUUGCUACUCACCUCAUGGGAGAAGGGCAAAGAGAGGUUGAGAGAGAAAAGGGGGCUGAACUCAGCUUUUUAUGACAAACCCAGUCCUGCUAUAACAGCAUUAAAUUCAUUCAUGACGGUGGUACCCAUGACCCAAACAUCUCCCAUUAGGUCCCACCCUGCAAGACUACUUCAUUGGGAAUCAAAUUUCUUUUCUUUUCUUUUCUUUUUUUUUGAGAUGGAGUUUAGCUCUGUCGCUGAGGCUGGGGUGCAAUGGCGUGAUCUCUGCUCACUGCAACCUCCACCUCCUGGGUUCAAGUGAUUCUCCUGACUCAGCCUCCUGAGUAGCUGGGAUUACAGGUGCCUGCCACCACACCUGGCUAAUUUUUGUAUUUUUAGUAGAGAUGGGGUUUCACCGUGUUAGCCAGGAUGGUCUCGAUCUCCUGACCUCAUGAUCCGC
rnacentral:lncRNA from 1 species